UGCACAUGGAGACUGAAUUUAGUAAUGUUUACUAGUACUUUUGCUAGCCUGGAUGAACUUUAUACCUGGCCUGUAUAUGAUGCCUUAAUUUACUGGCAGGCUUUAAUUUGUUGAAAACAAGCUUAGGGCUCAUUUAAAGUCUGUAUUCUGUCAUAGCGAUGCUGUUAUUAAUGUAAUUGAUGAAGUAGGGGGAGGAGUACAAUUUUCAGGAUUUUUUUUUUAAAAAGUGCAUUUUUCUGCAGUGUCUUUGACGCCACAUGCAUUGUGCUGCAACGAAAAGAGGAGCCAAGCAACAGAAUUGACAAUAUUGUUUAUCUUUUGGUGAUGUUUCUUCAGUUCUAAUUUAUAGCAGAACUAUGCCUGAGACCAGUGAAUUAUGGUUUCACAUCCAAAGCUUGCCAGAAUUCAUGAAGGCUUACCCAGACUGUCCAAGUUUUUAUAAUCCUUAGCUCUGUGUUUUGUAUCUGCAAUAUGUGGACGCGUAGUCUCUUGGGAGUUGAUCUUUUCCCAGUGCAAGGCUAGUACCUUAUGAAGAGAGUUUCUGGUGCUAUUGCAUUUGCUCCCAAAGGCAGCCUGGCAACUGCUCUGUUCCGAGCCUUCGAUGCACUGAUAACUCAGCACAGAAAUGCUAUGCUUUCACAGGGAAUAACAACAAGCCUGGAGGACCUAUCUGUGUUACUCGAGGGUUAGCACAGGGCAGGUUCACUGCUUCAGAGCUUAAUGAAUUGGUGGUUUUGCUCAUCCUUUCACCUUAGGCUCCCAUUACACAGCUAUGCAUGCUUUCACUUCCUAGGUAUUCUCUCCAUAAUGCCCAUGACAUGCCCCCUCCAAGCUGCUUCUUAAUUCAUCAGGAAUCUGCUCAUCCCCCUCUUCAAUCUGCCUAAUCUCUAUGUGUUAUGCCUGCCGUUUCUGUGUCUUUUAAGAGCCACGCUUCUUCCACAGGGUCAACCUCACUUUGGCUGGCUUGUCUUCUUGAUUUCUUCAUUGGUGGUGCUAAAGAGAGUUGAUGAGACAGGAAGAAAGCAGCAGGGAUUGCUGAGUCUGAACAUCACUUCUGCUAAGCUUGGAGCAGCACUGAAGCUAUUUUAUACAAGGAGAAGUGCAAGACUUGGAACCCUCUGUGGGGGAGAAGACGGGAAUGCUACUGGCUGCAUUUCUCAGUUUAACUCGCAGGGCUGAAUGUUUAACUCCUUGAAGAACAGUUCGACAAUUAACAUACAGACUACCUCUUUCCAUGCCCACUGAUGGGGUGAGCUCUCAGGCACUUGUAUAAUUGCUAAUAGUGACUGGUGCCGAACUGUUGGGCCAGCUCCAGAGAUAAUACUUGAAAAAGGUUGUCUGACUCUGAUGUCUGAGCACUGCCACAGAAACUUCAGUUUCUUUAUUUUAAUUGCUUAUGGAACUGGUCAUACAUAUGAAAAAUACUGAAUUAAUAUAAUUUAGCUGUAAAGGAAAUAUUUUUGCAUUAAAGUCCACCCCAGACUUAUAAGGUUAUUACAUAGCAAAAUUAAGCUAUAUACAUAUAUAAUUAUAAGCAUAUAUAUGCAAGUAUAAGCUCAGGUUUUGAAUACCUGUAAGAUACUUACCUCUGAAUGUCUAUUACUGAUAGCAGUGUAGCAUCAGAAGUGUUAAGUGAGUUCUCUGAGCGCGACAAAUAAUGUAAGUUAUGGCCUA
ensembl:lncRNA